rnacentral:tRNA from 1 species
GUUUCCGUAGCUCAGCAGGAUAGAGCACUCGCCUCCUAAGCGAGGGGUCGGGCGUUCGAAUCGCCUCGGGAACGCUA